UUUGUUUCCUCUGUUUAUUUUUGUUCCUUUUUCGCUAGGUUGCGCGACGGGGCCUCUCUCUCCCUCGCUGUGUGUGAGAGUUCGUCCACUCUACCACCCGUUGUGCCGUCCUGCGAUCGUUUCCAUGGUUUCGGUGUUGGUUUGUGUGGUUAUCUAGCUUGCUUUGCGCGACGUCGCGUGGUGAAGGGCACGAGUAUUGCGUCGUAUUUGUUGCGUCUGUGGUGGGAGGCACAGGGGCUUUCUUCGUUAUCCUUGAAGGGACCUUUGAGUUGUGGUGGCGAUGACGGUGGCGAUUAAUUUGUUUGUGGGAUCAAUGUGUUUAGUAAUUCUGGUUGCUGCGUCGUUGGGAAGCAGGAAUUGGCGGUAGAUGACAAUUGCGAUCGCGCGUCAAAGAGAGAGAGUGUGUGUGAGAGAGAGAGAGAGAGAGAGAGAGAGAGAGAUGUAUUUGAACAAUUUUUUCGUGUGCUGGUUUCUGUGUUCGUCUUUGUCGUGCAUUUCAGGCCGUCGGUCUUUGAAGAGCUGUUAGGAUCUGAACGUCAUUACCAUGAUCGUUGUCUAGCAGCGAAUUGAUGGGCCAUUCUCACGGCGGAGGCUUUCAUGUAUCUGCUCUAAGUGUGAAAGUACUGACGGUUACACGUCCAAGUUUUGUCAUCGAGAUUGCAUUUGUGGAGAAUUGCUGCGCGGAGCCGUACGUCUCGCAGGUCCUCGCUAUUCCUUUUUGACAGCGUCUCAUGUGCUUCUACGUCUUUUAAAUGUUGGACCAAGCCUUUUGACAGAUCUGGUGUGAGUCGAAGGGCUCAAUUUGGAAUCAAUUCUCUCUCGAACGAGACAGAAGACGCAUCGAACAAGCAUUUACUCCUUUUGCCGAUCUCACCCUCUUGGCUCAAAGGAACUAGUCCUCCGUGCGGAUUACAUUUUUCUGCCGAUAAAAUCUAUCAAUCGAGUGUCACUUUUCAGCGUCAAGGCUGCUAUCGCCACCGUUGCUGGCCCUACUUCAUUUUCAGAGUUUGCAAGAGUUCAAAUUAUUUCUUGGUCGUGACUCGCAUUAUACUGGAUGGGGAAGAAGAGCGGAUAUAACCCAGAGACACCUGUGUUUCUGGGCACAACUAAUGUCAACCUUGCACGAAAGCAACGAGCAUGGCGUCUCGCACUUUUUAUUGUUACCUUCUGCAUCGACAUCGUGGCCUCUCUGAUGUUAUUCACUAUUGUGCAUCUCUGGAGUGAUAAGAGUGAUUUUCCGAUUUGGAGUUCGCUGAAAGACUUUUACAGGGACACGUCAGAUUUGAUUGUGCUUUGCGUUAUAAGAAUCUUAUGUCUUGCUGGUUUGGCACAUGUGGGAAGUCUUUUGGCUAUGAGUGAGGCUGUUGCUAAAGAGGAACUGAAGUUUAAGCCAAAACCAAAAAGGGAUGAUCACCUGAAAGGUUUGGUUCAAGUCAAUGGAAAAGUUCGAAAUGGUGAAGCAAUUGGUAGCAUUAGAGAGCCUCUUCUCACGAAAACGGAACCCAAGUUGGAGGUUAAGUCAAUUACCGCAUACGAAGAGUGGUUUUCAGGAUCAUCUAAGAAAGACAUUGUUCUCUUUGCGACUUUUCUAAUCUGCACUGCAUUUCAGGCAUAUGUAGGAGCGAAGUGCGUGAGUUUCUAUUUUGAUGUGGAACACUCUCUAUUCAACGUCCGGGUUGAAGUAUUGCAGAGUGUUUUGAUGAGCACAACUGUUGUGUGGAUCAAUGCAGAAAGUUCUCUGUUGUCAAGGGUUGUGGAUGCCAACCGUGUUCUGGCACGUGCUAUGUUCUUGAAUUCUAAGCGUAGUCGACCGGACUCACAUGAUUCUCGUGUUUCCGUGAUCACAAACAGCGUGAACCUUGCGAAUGGAGAUCCCACCGAGGAAGGCACCUUGAAGGGCGAUAAAGGCUUGAAAAACGAGACAGAGAUUGAUCAGAACAGCUACUUAUUGCGUGCCAUCAGAUUGGCCAAAAAUGAAGCUUGUUUACUGGCAUGCGCUCUCUUAUGUCUUGGUCUUUCUUCUCUAUCAAGUUUGAUACUACCAAGCUAUCAGGGCCGUAUCCUGGAUCAUGUGAUUCAGAGGGAUGUAUCACUGUUCAAGAGGGAUGUUCUGUUGCUGAUUGCCUUUAGCUUAAUGACAGGAUUGUUUGAGGCUGUGCGAAACCUUUGUUUUGCUGUAGUAGGGAAACGUGUCUUAAAGACUCUGCAAGACAAGCUCUUCAUGGGCAUUGUCAUUCAAGACAUUGCUUAUUUUGAUGGUACUACAUCUGGCGAGCUCACAUCUAGGCUUACAAAUGAUGUCUCCUCAAUGGCGGAGCCAGUGAAUUGGAUGCUAUCCGCUCUUUUGCGCAAUUGUCUCUCUCUCGUGGGUGGUUUCACAAUGUGCUUUAUGAUAAGUUGGAAGCUGAGUAUGCUGGCUUUUACAACAAUGGCUCCAAUUAUGCAUAUUACAGCGGUUUAUUCAAGGUGGUCUCGGGAACUCAAUCGCAAGCGUUAUGCAUUGCUUGCUGAGGCAAAUUCAGCCGCCUCUGAAGCUAUUGGGAACAUUCGUACAGUGAGGGCAUUUUCCACUGAAGAUACGGAACUAGAUCGUUUUAAAUCCAAAACCUAUGGUGCUAUGCAGAAAGGUGUUAGGGAUGCUUAUGCUUAUGCAGGGGCUGUUGCUGUUAACGAUUGGUUGGAUUUAGGCGCAUCAGUCUUAAUCCUUUGGUACGGAGGAGUGCUCGUGAUGAAUGAUCGACUGUCUGCGGGAAAAUUGAUCACGUUUCAAUUGUAUUGGAAUCAAAUUCAAAGUGCAUAUCAGAGCAUUAUGUCAGUAUUGAUGUCCUUGACCAGAGCCGCAGGUGCUGCACAGCGUGUGCUGUCGUUGGUGGAUGCUCUCCCAGAUAUUGAUCGGAAUUCGGGCACUCAGAUUUCCAAGUUGGAUGGAGAGAUUAAGCUUGAGAAUUUGUACUUCUGCUAUCAAAUGCGUCCACAACAUCCUGUCCUGCAGGGUGUUGAUCUCACAGUUGGCAAAGGAGACGUGUGUGCGCUGGUUGGACGAAGUGGCGGUGGAAAGUCGACCAUUGUUCAUCUCCUUAUGCGAUUUUACGAUCCCACUGCAGGGCGAAUUCUUUUGGAUGGCUGGGAUUUGAGGGAUCUAAAUCUUAAAUCUGUUCACCAGCACAUGGGAUUGGUAGCACAAGAGACACAAAUGUUCGCUUGUUCAAUUCUAGAAAAUAUCACCUAUGGAUUGUCAAGUUGGCGGCAAGAAGAUUUGGAGGAGGCUGCAAAGUAUGCGAAUGCUCAUGACUUCAUUAUGAAAUUUCCCGAGGGCUAUGCGACAAGAGUUGGGGAGAGAGGAGUUAGACUGUCUGGGGGUCAACGACAGCGCAUUGCAAUUGCACGAAUGUUGCUACGGCGACCUAAAGUUUUGCUAUUGGAUGAAGCGACAAGUUCUCUGGACACUGAGAGUGAAGCAUUGGUGCAACAAGCACUAGAUCGGCUUAUUGGGGAGGGAGGGCGAACUAUCGUUUUAGUCGCACAUCGACUUUCGACCGUGCGGAACGCUGAUAACAUUGCAGUAUUGGACAAAGGUCGUCUUGUUGAACAGGGGACUCACGAGGAACUCCUGAUGCAGAAGAGUGGAGUUUAUGAGAAGCUUGUGAGGAGGCAGUUGCAUAAAGUAAGCAAUCGCAUUAUGGAGGAUCCUGAGGAGCUUGACACAGCUGCUGAUACAAUCGACGCGCUAAUCGAUGAGACUUCGAAUGGAAAACUGUAGAUUUUACAGCUUUCCGCACAUCUUGCACUAUAUCUGAUUUCCAGUUGUCACCCUCUGCAAGGAUUUAGAGGAAACUAUCUCCUUAACUCGAAGAGCAGCUCUCACACAUAGCAUUGCUAAAUUUUACCGGCAAGAGCACGUGCUGCAGAGCUUUACCACGCCAAUGUGACGCUACAUGGAGAAGUAGGUGCAGAUUACAGACUGGCUCCCCCACGAGCUCGAUUUCGGCUCAAUUUGCCUGUUAUCACCAACCUGGAAAACAUUUUCCGCCCUAUCGAAGAGGCUACCAGUGUACUCGUCAAUUUUAGCAGCACAUAUUGGAUGUUUUCAUCUGGUUGUGCCUUGCAGCGCCCGGAGAGAAAUUGGAGAAUGGGCUGAAACUCCAUAUUUUUUUAGAAUUAUUGGGUAGAGUAUUGUUCUAUGUGGGUUACUGCCUCUCAAUUACUUUAGAUAGGCAAUUUUUUGGAAACGAGUUUUGUCUUAAGGUCAUAGGUUCUUUACAAUUUUGAAUUUUCUUAAGUUUAAGUUUCCAAUUUGGAUUUGGUAAUUUGGGCAUUUCAAGAGUUGAUCUGUAAUUAAAAGCCGGCUUGUCCCAGAUAUUGGCGCCCAGUCACUCUACAAGGGAUGUAAGGCGCAAUCAUUAGGACCAGAAAUACUCAAAGCAGCGUUCCCAUCUCUUAAGGUCCUCUGAACUUGUGCCUUGUCAACUUUACCCUCAAAUAGUGUGAAGGAGAUAUAAAUGUGACUCAUGCCCACCUUAACAACCCUCAUUACUUUUGAGUACAAGCAGCCAGCACCUGGUUGAUACUUCGACGACUGAGGCUAUUUUAAUAUCAUAACAAGAGAAAUUGGCAGUGACGUCAAUCUUACUACACAAUUGUAUUUAUUAGGCAGGAGAAGUUCUAGAGACUCAAUGCUGGUAUUUUGACCCACACACAUCGAACUUCCAUCAAGAUCUAUACCGUGCAGAGAAUUUUUUAAUGGAAUAUUGUUGUUUGAAAUGGUGGUUUUUGGCAAUGAGUAGUUAAAUAUUUGAUUAAAAUAAAAAUCGUUCUCAAGGCAGUGUGUUUUCCAGUGCUGUAUCAAUCCAACAAAUGCAGUACAUGUUUAUAAUAAUUGUCUACGAGGACGCAUUUCUAA